UCCACUUAUCAUUGAGUGCAUACCAUGUGU
rnacentral:piRNA from 1 species